rnacentral:misc_RNA from 1 species
AUGGACUUGCCGAUGAGGGUGUUCUUUGCGACGACGAGGCGAGCGGUUUUCGGGAGAGCGCCGCGGAGGGCCUGGAGCUGGCGGACGGAGAGGCCGUGGCACCAGAAGCCGGCGAGAAGGUGGCAGCCGUCGAGCUGGCGCUGGAGGGUUUCGGCGCGGGCACGGCGGAGGGCGGCGCGGAUGGUGGAGGCGACCAGCGGCAUUGGGGCGGCGGGGUUGGGACCGAUUUGGGGUUUGAUGGGAGUGAGAUUGCUGGGCCCCACGUGUCAUCAUCAU